GGAGAGGUAGCCAAGCGGCUUACGGCAGCGGUCUUGAAAACCGCCAGGGUGAAAGCCCUCGUGGGUUCGAAUCCCACCCUCUCCG
rnacentral:tRNA from 1 species